rnacentral:rRNA from 1 species
UACGUAGGGUGCGAGCGUUAAUCGGAAUUACUGGGCGUAAAGCGUGCGCAGGCGGUUCGUGAUGUCUGGUGUGAAAGCCCCGGGCUUAACCUGGGAAUUGCAUUGGAAACUAGCGGGCUGGAGUGUGGCAGAGGGGGGUGGAAUUCCACGUGUAGCAGUGAAAUGCGUAGAGAUGUGGAGGAACACCAGUGGCGAAGGCGACUUUCUGGCCUGUAACUGACGCUGAGGCGCGAAAGCGUGGGGAGCAAACAGG